GAGCAAACAGCUACUUUCAGCAGGGAAAAAUUCUGAUUUUUCUGGUUCUUAUUAUCGGGUAGAAGUAGGAAAGGAAGCACAUGUAGCAUGAAGUUUAUUUUCGUUGCUUCCAAUAUUUUCUACUCAUUUAGUUUCUUGACAUAACUCGAGUCCCGAAGUACAAGCAUUUCGCAGUUGGAAGUGCCCUCGUGGCCAAGAAUUCGUAUGCCUGAAAUGGCAUUCGCUCGGAUCAGAUUAAGAGAAUCUGUUAACCCAGAAUUCCUAUGGAACACACCUAAAGCCUUAUGAGUAAUCAGAUUGGCGAAGCUCGUCCUCACGGUUCAUACCUCGCGGUGAGGUUUAUUUUAGGGGCAGCAACAACAGAGCAUCUCCAAGCAGUACUCGCAAGUCUCGAAGCAGCAGAAGCAGCAACACAGCGCGAACAGGCUGCACUUUCCAAGACCAUUGCCACAAAAGGAAAGAAAAACAUCAAUACGCAUGAAGCGAUGACAAAGGAUAUGAUGAUGAUGAUGAUGACGACCACGAUACACAGGUUUUCGUGAAACUAUGUCAAACAGAUGUGGUCUUAGAUCGUAUGUGAUUGAUCACUGCGAGACAUGAUUAGCAAAACGCCAAAACUUAGACCAUUGUUAGUGGAUAAAAAGGACGAAA